AAUUGAAACUCCAUCCUUAGAAGCACUGCUGAAGUUAUGACUGCAUGACAUGCAACACUAAAAUUGAAGGUGAAGUUUUAUACUAUGGCUACACAACAAUUCUGCUUUAUUGAGCAAAAUGUUGGGUGAGACAAUAAAC